rnacentral:lncRNA from 1 species
CGGGAAGCUGCUGCCUGGAGGGGGUGGGAUGCUGGCAGGGGCUGAGCCUCCCCAGGACACAGCACCUUCGUCACUCUGACCACUGGGCCCCCUGCCCCACCUCUGACCACUGGACCUGAGUGGGGUGUGUCUCCAUUCUGUGCCCAUUGGCUCCUCCCUACUCCUCGCCAAGGGAGAGACCAGCCCCUCCCAUCACAGGCUCCUUGGAGGGCUGGAAUCCAGCUCAGCUUAGUUCAGCAAAAGACCAUGAACCCUACUGUGUCCAGGUACAGGAUCGAGGAGCUGGUUGUUCAAGAGCAUGGAACUCCUCCCAUCACUCCCUCUUGCUCCCUCUCUGAUCACACAACACACUGGUUCCCCUUGCCUUCUGCCAUGAGGAAAAGUUCCCUGAGGCCCCAACCAGAGGCAGAUGCUGGCACCAUGCUUCCUGUACAGCCUGCAUAACUGUGAGCCAAAUAAACCUCUUUUCUUUAUAAAUUACCCAGCCUCAGGUAUCCCAUUAUGGCAACACAAAAGGGACUAAUACUUAGGCCAUUUAAAAAUAU